rnacentral:snRNA from 1 species
GCUUGCUUCGGCAGCGCAUAUACUAAAAUUGGAACGAUACGGAGAAGAUUAGCAUGGCCCCUGCACCAGGAUGACACGCAGAUUCGUGAAGCGUUCCGUAUUUUU